AAAGACAAGCUGACUUCAGAAUGCUGCCUUAGGGGUGAAAUACAAGCUCUAAGACAAUUUCUGAAGGCAUUCCAGUGAGGAGGGUGCUGUGCCAGGUGGAGCAUCCCUUUGGAGUGACUCCUGCGCUGGUGCUGAGGUCACAGAGUGCUGCCUGGGCUAUUCACUCUUUGCCAUCUAAAUCUAUAUUUUGAAAAGGCAAGGAAGAGUGAGAGGGAAGAAGUGCCCCUAGCUAAGACAGACAACAGAAGAGAAUUUAAUUCAGGCAGCUCUUCAACUUUGGAGGCUUUUGGAGGAGCAGCAAUAGCCCAAGCAAGCCCUUGCUCAGCCACCACGUUUCUCCAAGGAGGGGAGCCAGACUCAGCUCUGACAAAGCCAGCCUGCAGGACAUGGAGAGGGCCACAUUCCUGGCCAAGGACACUGGCCACAUUGCAAGCAUCACAAAAGCUGUCACAAUUUGCAUCCCAGAUGUAUUUCCAAAGAGGAGUGUCUGAAAUCAGCAAUUUCAGGUAACAAUUCCGAGGGAAUUACAAGUAAAAACCAAAAUUUGUCUCAUGAGCUACCUGGAAACCUGCAGAUUGGUACAGAGUACUCUUUUAAGGUUGAUGUCUGAGAUCAUGCAAUAUACAUAUUUAAAUAAGUUUUAUAUGACCUUAGCUUUGAUCGUGUUCAGAUGAGCCAAUUAAUGUUGGGUUUGAUCAGUUCUUCUGAAUGUUGUGCUUCUUUUUUUGGGGUCU